GGCCCCUUAGCUCAGUUGGUUAGAGCAGGCGACUCAUAAUCGCUUGGUCACUGGUUCAAGUCCAGUAGGGACCACCA
rnacentral:tRNA from 1 species